UGCGGAACACGUACAGAACCUUCCUUUGAGCGGGAAUAGCCCAGAGAAAUUUGGAUUAAUACCCCAUAGUAUAAUGAAGUGGCAUCACUUUAUUAUUAAAGAUUUAUCACUCGAAGAUGGCUGUGCGGCUGAUUAGGUAGUUGGCGGGUAAAGGCCCACCAAGCCUGCGAUCAGUAACUGGUGUGAGAGCAGACCAGUCACACGGGCACUGAGACACGGGCCCGACUCCUACGGGAGGCAGCAGUAAGGAAUAUUGGUCAAUGGAGGCAACUCUGAACCAGCCAUGCCGCGUGGAGGAUGAAGGUCCUCUGGAUUGUAAACUUCUUUUAUAUGGGACGAAAAAGGCUUUCUAAGUCGUCUGACGGUACCAUAUGAAUAAGCACCGGCUAACUCCGUG
rnacentral:rRNA from 1 species